rnacentral:rRNA from 1 species
GAUGAACGCUGGCGGCGUGCCUAAUACAUGCAAGUCGAGCGAACAGACGAGGAGCUUGCUCCUCUGACGUUAGCGGCGGACGGGUGAGUAACACGUGGAUAACCUACCUAUAAGACUGGGAUAACUUCGGGAAACCGGAGCUACUACCGGAUAAUAUAUUGAACCGCAUGGUUCAAUAGUGAAAGACGGUUUUGCUGUCACUUAUAGAUGGAUCCGCGCCGCAUUAGCUAGUUGGUAAGGUAACGGCUUACCAAGGCGACGAUGCGUAGCCGACCUGAGAGGGUGAUCGGCAACACUGGACCUGAGACACGGUCCAGACUCCUACGGGAGGCAGCAGUGGGGAAUCUGGCGAAAUGGGCGAAAGCCUGACGGGGCAAAGCCGCGUGAGUGAGGAAGGGCUUCGGUUCGUAAAACUCUGUUAUUAGGGAAGAAAAAAUGUGUAAGUAACGAUGCACGUCUGGACGGUACCAAAGCAGAAAGCCACGGCUAACUACGU